rnacentral:lncRNA from 1 species
CCUCCUUGGUCUGUGGGAUGGACAUGGGCCUAGUGGGGAGAGAGUGCCCCCAGAGGGCAACAGGCCAGUCGCUGCCCCUAAAGACUGCCUGCUUGACCUAGCACCGUGGAAACCUGCCCAGCCUGCCUUGCUCACCACCUCCCGUGGUCCUACGUCUGAUUGCUGGCAGAGCUCUGUCUGGGUGAGGAAAGAGCCCUUCAGGUCUUCGGGAAACACUCCCCUUGGGCAUCACUGGCAGAGUUGAUCAAUGGCCUCGCCUCCCCAUGCUCUUGUUGGAAAGAAGGAGCUCCCACUUAUGGGGCAUCUAGAGUACCUUUCAAAGGUGGGCUCCUUGACCCUCACAAUAACCCAAUAAGUGGAUAUUAUGAGCCCCAUUUCACAGAGAAAUGGGAGAAAACAGAGGCUCAGAGAGGUCAAGAAAUUUGUUGAAGCCACAUUGCCAAGAAGUGAGAGAGUUGAAAUUAAUGCCCAGAUUUGUUUGAUUCCAAAGUUCUGGAGCCUUUGGGAUUCCCCAAACCCUGAGUGAGAAAGUUCACCUUCCAGGACUUUCCGUGCUCCUCUGGCAAGGACAACAUGGGCAAAGUGCUAAGAUUUUGGACUACGAGGUUUGGCGCUGCCAGUGCUCUCAGGACAGGAAGGGCACAGGUCUUGAACCCUGAAGAUGAAGAGAGAUGGAGCAGGUGCUAAUCACCAGGCCUCUUCCAGAGCGGCUGGAGGACUCUGCCUUUGUAUGUGGUGUUUCUUCAACUUGGAAUGCCCUGCCUCCCGUUCUCCAACUGGCAAGCCUAGUAUUUUCUCAGGACUCUGCAAAGCCUUCCCUAACCGCCCCCGCAACACAAGGCGGAUGUGGUACCCUCACUUGUGCCUCCGCAACAGUGCGCAGGUUUAUCAGAGCUCUCCCCAUGCAUGGUAGUCAGCUGUUCCUGGUCUGCCCCUCCCAUUAGACUGUGAACUCUUAGAGGGAGGGGCUGUGGACCAUGGCUUAUUCAUCUUUGUGUAUUCUCAGCACCUACCUCUGUAAAUGUUAAAAAUAAUAGGUAUCAUUUACUGAUCAUCACCAUAUUUUAAUUUCUAUACAUAAUAUCUAACAUAGAUACAUUAUUUCACUUCCUCAUUGUCCAACUGAAAUGUAUAAAGUGGGUUAUUUGAAGUGGGUUAUUAAAAAUAACCACUUCCAAAAGUGGUGACAUAAACUCAUCUUUCACACAUACACAUAAAUAUGCCUCCUUGAAUCACUUGAACCCAAGAGGCGGAGGUUGCAGUGAACGAAGA